CCACUCCUGAUCGAAGAGACGUACCAUCAUUCACUGUAUAGGUACUCAUGGUUCCUGAAGUCUGGCAGUGAAGUCUUCUUCCAAGCAGCGACCUCUUCUAUCUUUAUCCAGGACCGCGGAACUGAAGACCGGCGACCGAGGAACCAUGGAGCGUAGAUGAUCCACUUCAUACGAUCGCUGUACACUGAAUAGUGAAUUUAAGGUUCAGGAAUUCUUCAACUUUUUUUUUUGGAUAAUAUAUUAUUGAGUCACCGGCACUAAAUUUGUCUUUAUACACACUUUAUUUAUUUUACACCAGUUUUUAACUACCACCUCUCUUUUUUGGUAGCACCUUACAUCAUUUUUGGAAGCACGAUUUAUUGUAUAUCCUUUUUUACUACGAUUUUUUCAGCACAGAACACUCGCAGGGAUCAAUUGCUCACUGUUUUGUUGAACUUUGGAUAUUUAUCAUUUUAUCAUUGACUAUUUUAAUAUUGACUAUUCUAUUCACACUGAUUUUGAAGACACAUAUUUGUGGUUUGCCAUUUUUUUGGAUUCAUUUCAGGAUUUA